rnacentral:lncRNA from 1 species
CACUCAUGAAGGACUGAACUGUGUUAGUAAUGUGAUUGAUAUAGUUUGUGGUGUUGCUUGCUGUGUCACUGAAAUUUAUUGUUUGUUUGUCUUUUUAAUUUGUUACUUGUACUGUUGAGAUUACAUAAAUUAUAUUAAGGUUGUUGAGAGUACAUUUUGUUUCUGGAUAUUUUUUCUCCAGUUUAGUUGUGUAACUUGUGUGUAUUAAGUAAUAAUUUUUUUUAUUCUUAUUAUGUUGGUUAUAUGUUUCUUUAUUUUUAAACUUGUUGGUUUUACCGGACAUUUAAAACAAAUACAUGAAGAUUUGUAGAAAUAACUAUAAAAUGAGUGAAUUAAUAUUUGGGCCUUAAUGGGUUUUAAACGAAUAUAUGUAUUUCUCAUAAGAAGACAAUAGCAUUGACAUGUUGACCUUGAGCAUGUAAGCUAUUUUCAUAAGACAAGAGGAGUGAGCAGGUGGAGAUGUUGUUGCCGCCUUUGUGUCUAUUGAGAUUGUCUCUUGUAUCUCCUGGUAUGGUUGUUUUUGUUUAUCUUUUAUUUGAUGGGUAAUAUGUAAACAAAAAUCAUUAUUAGUUGUAUUUAUCAGAGUUAUUAAUUUAUUUUGCAUUUUUGUUUAUGUAAUUUCAUUGAUCUUGGUUGUCGUCUUCUUCUUCUUCGUAAGCAUCUGCGAAAGUAAGUUUGUAAAUUGUUAAAUAGCUGGCCGUGUAGUUUGUAUUUGUUUAGCUGGCUCAAUGUAUGUGUUGUUCAGUUUUAGUUGAGUUGAUUGGUUUGGUAUAUCUGUUUUGAAGUUUAUUUGUAGGAUUAGACAAAAAGAGAAGUGAUCAUUAAUGAUUCGUCUGUUUUGGGAUUCUACUUUUUGGUGUUUUGAUUGUUUGGGCUAUUAUGGUUUUUUUAAGUUGUAAAAUAAAGAUUUGUGUAAAAUUAGAUUGAUAAGUAAUGGAGAUAAAUAGACGACCAC